CCGCUGCCUUCGGAGAUGGCACACUAACACCAGCUGGUCCUCCUUAUCACUUAGGAUUUUUUACUUUUUCUUUUCUUUUCGGGAUGAGGUGGGUUGGAGGGGAGAGAGGCAGAGGUGGCCGAGCGGCGGCGACGGCGGUACUGGAGGUCGGCCGACGGGUGGGAAAGGGAGGCUAGGCGCAGGAGGAUCGGGUAGGCGAAGGGGGUGGAGGCCAGCUGCUUUCUAGUGUGGGGCGCGGUACCUUUAGGGCGCGGGACAAGAGGAACCAGACCCCGUCGAGUACCUCGUGGAGGAGCCGCUAGGUCGUCGGAGGCGGGAGGAAGUUGUUUAGCUUAGGUGGUCUUUUACUCUCCCUUCGUGGCCGGCAUAGCCGCUUAGGAAUCGGAGAGGAGACUUACGAAGACAAAAUCAAUCAUAGACAUACGACUGUACAGCAAGAAUUAACUGUCGAAAACGAAGUAUGAGGUGAAUGAAAUGGUUCAAACAACAAACAGGAUUACUGUCUAACUAGCCCCUACCUCCACAACUAAGCUAACGAAAAUGCGGUCGAUUCCCGUUUUAGGGAGGGAGGUUCGCUCUGUGCAGAGACAUCAAGAUCAAGUCAACUAAAGUAGACGCCGUGUCCAGUCGUACGUCUUGUUGCGCUGUCUCCAAGGACGGGUUCCGGUACCGGAACCCGUCCACUCGUUGUUGCUGUAGUCCGACAGGCCGAGGCAGUAACCCCCGUGAAAGCAGCAACAGCAACAAAACCACCCGCCGCGAUAAGAAGACGUGGCUAAGAAGUCCAAGAUGUUCGACCUCUUUCGUGACGCUCGCGACUUCUAGGGGGGGAGGUCCAAGGUUGGCCUCCCCCGUUAGUUGAGUCACACGUGGUAGACGUAACGUCUAAAGGCGGGGGCGCGCGCGCACCGUCACGAGGGGUGCACGCCCGUGCAGAAGGUGGCGGUGACGGAGGCCCUCCACCACCGCCCCGUCUCGGGUGCGACGGGCGAGACAACCCGUCGAGACGACACUUCCAAACUACUUCCUCCUCCUAGCUGUCCACUACUCCUUCCCCCGCGACUACGAGUUUCUGUUACGGUCGUUGUGCUACGCGUGGACGCGUCGCUAGGUCCUACUGUUGUCGCCGACUACUUCAACCGUCGACCCAGUAAUUUCGUACCGUCGCAAAGGGGAAAAGCAACGAACAGACUAUUGAAACUGGGGACGCACCCAUCUGAAGGACACAGAACAAACCAACCGUGGACAAAACUCGACUAUCAAGGGAACCUACAAUUACCCAAUCAGAAAUGAUGAAAAUACUCAUAAAUUGUUUUUU
rnacentral:rRNA from 1 species